CAGGUGCAUGCCUCUAGC
rnacentral:rRNA from 16 species